UAUUGGUCGCAUCACAAAGGUUAUCCCAGGUGCAGAUGGAAGGAUAAGGACAGCGGAGAUCCAGGUGAAUGACAGGAACUACACCAGGCCAGUUGCCCGUCUUGUUCAACUUCCUGCCAUACCUGAGACAGCACCUGAGACAGCCAGUCUUUCUAUGGGACAGCAAAUUUGACUGUGCAAAUUUGGGGGCGGCUGUGAAGAAGGACUCGCUGUAACAGGGAUCAGCCAAUCAGCGGCUUCGUUUCAGUUUUCGCGACGACAGUUUUUAGUUUCGUUUUGAGUUGGUCGUGAGAUUGGCCGGGAAACGCAUUGUAGAUAUUUCUGAGGUGAAUAGUUGUCGUCCGUGCCGCUAUCUGUACAUGUGUGCGUUCAGAGACAUAACCACACAUACUGUACAUUCAUGAAGACAGAUAAUCCUCUGCUGACUGUCAAUAAACCCAUCAAAGAGAUUUACAGCAUCUAAUUGCAUUCUUAUCGAUGCACCACAGUGGUCACUAAUCCCCAACUAGCUACAGUUACAGUCCUAGCUAUCAAGUCAUCAUU